CUCCACGGCUGCCGUAGUGUCAGUCUGAAGCGCUUGGAGCUGAGACUUGAGGCAGCUCUUGUUGGGUGUUCUCAGUAUGCUGUGUUCACUACCUGCCAAAAGUCCUCCAAGGUCUCGGGGUUCAUGGAGGCUCAACUUCAUAAAAGGAAAGGAUAAAGGAUCUGCUGCUGAUGUCUUGGUGCCAGAUACCACAUGAUACAACUAGAGGUCUUAUGGAAUCCACGCCUUGAUGGGUCUGAUGUGUUUCUGCAACACAAAGGGGACCAACACAAUAUUAGGCAUGUGAUUUUAAUGUUUUGGCCGAUCUAACAUGUUGGUCUUGUUGCCCAAUGAGACGCAGACGUGGCGAUGGUGCCGCGGCUGUGCCGUAGACGGGCAGACAGAAAUUGGCUUGUGAUCGACCCUGCCACCCUGGUGGGUCAGGGGCAUGGAACUGGGCCAGAUAACCCUAAUGUCAGGUCUUAGCCCUGUCUCGUGUCUCUGUGUGUCUUCCCCACGUGACCUGUGCUCCCCUGUGUCUCCCGUCUUAGUAGAUUUCCACCUGUGUCAUUUGUAGCUCCGCCCCUUCCCCAGGUGUUUCCAAUUCUAGAGUGUUUCUUGUUUCCUUAUAUAGAUCCCCUGUGCCACUUUGUCUCGGUCGGUCUUUGCACCUUCCCCUGUCGUUUUGUCUUUCUCUCCGUUUAAUAGUCUCUCUCAGUGUUUUCUUGUCUCCUAAGCCUUAGUCCCGUGUUUCUCGUUUAUAUCUUGUUUCAUGUUUCUAGUUUCUUGUUUACUUACGUGUUCCCUAGUUCCUUGUAUAUACCCCUGCUUGAAGUUUAUUAGUUUAUUCCAUUGUAUAUAUUUCCCUUGCCCAGUUUAGUUAAUCCUGUUUUGUUUUAGUUCCUUGUUUGUUAGUAUUUUGGUUUAUUAUCCUUGUUACAUGUUUACUUGUUUCUUUGUCUUUCUUUGUUAUUUAUUUAAUAAAUUUAUGUAUAUCGCCCUUACCUGCACCUGUGUCCGCCUCCUCGUCUCCCUGCCUGGGUCAUUCGUGACACCUAAACACUGCUCUGUGAUUGCGUGUGCUGUGAUGAUCAGUCAGAUGUGCUGAUUGGCCAAGGCUGGCUGGUCUAAUAUAACAACAUUACAUAAUAACGUGUAAUGUGUCUACUAAAACGGCAGGAUGCAUUUCUGACAUAUGAUGCUAGGCUAAUGUUGCUAAUGUUGACUUGGGUUGUCAGUAAUCUCAUCUUUGUAAAGACUCCAUCUCUCAACCGUCUCUCAGAACUCCUCUAGAUCUUCAUUAAAUUGGCAAAUGGAUGUGGCUUAGAACAUUAUAUGACUUACUUUAGUCUAUAAAAACAAACUUCUUCACAGAGCUGAACGCUGGUGGAAACCACUUUCAUCUCAGCACAGUGUGUGGCAUCACUCCACAUAUUGCGUUCCAGUCUGAAGUUGGAGUAGUGGAGCAGCACUACUAGUGAGAGGUUAUGAGGAUGAUAAUAUAGUUAAACUAAUUAGAUCAGAUAAAAUGUUUAAAUAAGCUCUAUACGCAUGGCUUCACAUGUUCACGCAUCUUAACAAUACAUUUCUAAAAGGAAUAUUGGAUGUUUUUGGCCUUUUGUUUUCAGAGAUGUCCAGUGAUGGUUAGCAUUGUUAGCCUAGCAUCUCCCAUCAGAUGCUAAAUAUGCCUUGGCUAAUCGUCUGCAUCUGGGAUCUUUGGUCAAUUAUGCUUCUCUGAUUAUUUGCUAGACUAUUCCUUUAAUAUUAGAGCUUAAUCAAACAUGUGUCCACUCACACUGCACUGACUUGUGGGAUAUGCUUGUGGGGCCGCUUGUCUGCACAGACAGUUCUAGCCAGGCACCACUGAUCACAAUCAUUACCACCCACUGCUCAGUCCACUGUGGGUAGUAAUACCCCUAAGAUGUAUUCCUAAAAAUAACUUUGUCGUCUGUAGGUUUCACUUGAACUCCAAUUAUUUACCUCUACUAGCUAUCAGACAGCCUUACGCACCAGCUAAUACUUCACAACUUAUACAGUUGUGGGCAUUCCAAAGCUGUGUCAUAAGGUAACAUGCCAGAAUCAGUUUACAUACUAUAAGCAUAUCUGACUAAUUAAAUAACAUAAAAAAUGCAUAUUUGUAAUCAUAUCAAUGCCCAUCUUUAGUCAAUACCAGGCGAGAACAGAAGCUUAAACUUGCUUAUUUGGUUUCUAACCCUCCUUAGACAACACUUAAAAUAAAAAGUAAUCCCAGAUUUAGUUAGUGGACAAAAGUAUUGGGACACCCUCUUGUUCACUUUCUUCUGAAAUAAAACGCAUUUAAAAAGAGUUUUUCCUGCUUUUGCAAGUAUAAUUGUUCCUCCUCAGCUGGAAAGGAUUUCUACUAGAGUUUGGAACAUUAUUUUGAGAAUUUAAUUAUAUUCAACCACAUGAAAGAUAGUAAGGUCAGGAUGUUGGAUGAUCACCACCCAGCCUCAUCCCUAAUUCCUCAACUCCCAGUUCAAUGCAAAGUAUUGUAUUUAAGCACAAUCGUUCCAGAGAACACAUUUCCACUGCUCCACAGCUCAGUGCAGGGGGGUUAUAAUACCCUCUGUAGACCACCUGGAAUUAGGCAUGGUGCCAAUAGGUAUGGGGCUUAUCUAGACAAUCUCUGUGUGCAUUUGCAUGUCUGUGUCAGCAAUGAAUCCAAAUUAAAGUAGUUGAAUGCAUUCAUUAGAACCAUUUGAGCAUAUAGUAGCUAAAAAAUAUAUAAUUAUAGCAGCUGAGUUAAAACUUAGCUUGUGUUUCUGUCAAUUUUGGAUAGAAUCUGGUUAAAAACUUUAAAAUUCUUUCUUCAAACAUUGAUGUAACCCAGCUUUUCAUUCCAUAUGUGUCUUGUGUUCCACAUUGGGCCUGACCGUCUGUGACUAAUGGGACAGCAGACACAAACACGUGACCCAAGACUUUGACAGCUGCAGCAGCAAAGCCAAGGGACCCAUUCAUACUGAACCAGGAGUGGGUGGAGUAAUCACUAUGCCUGCUAACAGACACUCCUGGAGUAAAGAAGCUAAACAUGUGACACUGAGUAACAGGAUGGGUAAUCCCAGCUAACAAUUUUCGGUUUGUAGAAUGUUUUACAUUCUUAGUCAAGUUUUCUGAGUGUUCUUAGAGCGUUUUUAAUUAACAAUUUUAAAUGUUCCUGUAACAACACUACCUGUAACAAUGUUUUAAUGUUUAGUUUUGGGCAUGUUAUUUUUAAUGUUUCCAUAAUUAGGUAAGAAGCAUUCUAAAAACAUUGAGAUCCAAAUCAUUAUUAUGUCACAUUUUCAGAACAUUACUGAAACAUUAUUUCUAGAAUGUUACAGGCUAACCUUCCUGGAACCUUUUCAAAAUGUUGAUAAACAUAUGCAUCUUAUAACAUUUUCUGUUAGCUAGGAUUUUGGAAAUUUACUAAUUGAUAUCUCAUAUAAACAACACUGAUACUAAUUGACCACAGACAUCCUUAUUUCAUAUAUAUUUUAUUUGUUCAAAUCUGUAAUCCUUAUAUUUCUUACAUUCUACUCUAGGUUUUUAUCUUUAUUGUUGUAUGUGAGCAAUUUCUCUAUUUGUACUGUGUACAACAAUGUAUGCAACAAAUAAACUUUUACAUUUUCAAAUAUA